rnacentral:rRNA from 1 species
CGGGUGAGUAACACGUGGGUAACCUGCCCAUCAGAAGGGGAUAACACUUGGAAACAGGUGCUAAUACCGUAUAAUAAUCGAAACCGCAUGGUUUCGGUUUGAAAGGCGCUUUUGCGUCACUGAUGGAUGGACCCGCGGUGCAUUAGCUAGUUGGUGAGGUAACGGCUCACCAAGGCAACGAUGCAUAGCCGACCUGAGAGGGUGAUCGGCCACAUUGGGACUGAGACACGGCCCAA